ACAAGCUCUAGUCAGAAGAAUUCAGCCAGGCUGUAGCACAUGUUCAAAUACUUAACUUUAUUUAUUGGCCACCUUUUUUUUAUUUUUUAUGAAUAGGGACGAUAUUGUAUUUCAUUCAACUUCACAAACAGAUACAAAUGUGACCAGUUGGGUACAUAAACUUGAGUGACCAAGAAAUUAAUUUGAAGUAAAUUUGUGCAGUACAACAAAUAAUAAUGGUAAACCCCCCUAAGCCCAGCUUUUAAAUAGAGGUGAAAAUCCAUGAACGAAUUAAAAAUCAAAAGUGUAGUAGUUGGAACAAU
rnacentral:lncRNA from 1 species